rnacentral:rRNA from 1 species
UACGUAGGGGGCAAGCGUUGUCCGGAAUUAUUGGGCGUAAAGGGAGCGUAGGCGGAUAGUUUAGUCAGAGGUGAAAGCCCAGGGCUCAACCUUGGAAUUGCCUUUGAUACUGGCUAUCUUGAGUACGGAAGAGGUAUGUGGAACUCCGAGUGUAGAGGUGAAAUUCGUAGAUAUUCGGAAGAACACCAGUGGCGAAGGCGACAUACUGGUCCGUUACUGACGCUGAGGCGCGAAAGCGUGGGGAGCAAACAGG